rnacentral:rRNA from 1 species
UACGUAGGUGGCGAGCGUUGUCCGGAUUUAUUGGGUUUAAAGGGCGCGUAGGCGGCCGAGCAAGUUAGAUGUGAAAGUCCUGGGCUUAACCUGGGGACUGCAUUUGAUACUGCUUGGCUUGAAUUCGGGAGAGGAUAGCGGAAUUCCCAGUGUAGAGGUGAAAUUCGUAGAUAUUGGGAAGAACACCGGUGGCGAAGGCGGCUAUCUGGACCGACAUUGACGCUGAGGCGCGAAAGCGUGGGGAGCAAACAGG